UACGUAGGUGGCAAGCGUUAUCCGGAAUUACUGGGUGUAAAGGGCGCGCAGGCGGCCCUGCAAGUCGGAUGUGAAAGAUCAAGGCUCAACCUUGACAGGCCAUUCGAAACUGUGGGACUUGAGUGUCAGAGGGGAAAGUGGAAUUCCUAGUGGAGCGGUAAAAUGCGCAGAUAUUAGGAGGAAUACCAGUGGCGAAGGCGACUUUCUGGACUUAUACUGACGCUGAGGAACGAAAGCGUGGGGAGGCAAACAGGAUUAGAUACCCUGGUA
rnacentral:rRNA from 1 species